AAAUCUUGCAAAAAAAAUAAAGGAAGCUGAACAUAAACAACGCACCAGGACAAUACGACCAAAUAAAUCAACUCAAAAAAUUAUUUUUGUUAGGGUUUAGUGUUCUCUAAAACGAAGAUAUGAAAAUAGAGAAUACGAAAAUGAAAAAAAAAAAAUCAAUGGAAAAUUAAGAUAAACAACUUGUCAGAAAAGAGUGCAAUAAAUGGAUUAAAAAUGAUACACAGAGAAUACGAUUCGCAUGAAUUAACAAAGAAAAUGUACAUAAACAACUCGAAAAAAGAUAACAACCCAAGAAAUCAAUUGCACGCUUGAAUGAACAUUUUUGGGGUUCUUUUCUAGGGUUUGUGGUGGAUUAAAAAUUAUACACAAAGAACACGAAUUGCGGGAAAGAACAAAAACAUAUACACAAACAGCUAGCAAAAAAAAAAAACACACAAUCCAAGAUAUCAAAUGCACAAUAGAACGACGCGAGAUAUUUUUGGAUUCUUUUGCUAGGGUUUGCGGUCUCUACAAAGGGGGGUCUGAGAGCAUCUCCAAACACAACACUAAGUCACUAUCUUUCACCAAUUUUCACCAAAUAUUAAUAUUUUAAUUAUAUAAUUUUAGAUGUUAAAGCAGAAUAUGAGAAACUCCUAUUUUGCUGCUUCUUAAAAUGUGCUAUCAUAUAUACAAAUUCUUCUCUGAUUAGUUUUACUUAAAUUUACCAAAUGCUUAAAGAUAACUUAUUUGAAAGCUAAAGCAAAUAAAGUUGGGCUCUAAA
rnacentral:lncRNA from 1 species